rnacentral:rRNA from 2 species
GGGAUUCCUUAGUAACGGCGAGGGAAGCGGCAAUUGUUCAGAUUUGAAAUCUGGUCCCCUUGGGGCCCGAGUUGUAAUCUGUAGGGGAUGCUUCGGAGUCUGACCCGGCCUAAGUUCCUUGGAACAGGACGUCGCAGAGGGUGAGAAUCCCGUAUGCGGCCGGUGGACGUCUCCGUGCGAAGCUCCUCCGACGAGUCGAGUUGUUUGGGAAUGCAGCUCUAAAUGGGAGGUAAAUUUCUUCUAAAGCUAAAUACCGGCCAGAGACCGAUAGCGCACAAGUAGAGUGAUCGAAAGAUGAAAAGCACUUUGGAAAGAGAGUUAAAAAGUACGUGAAAUUGUUGAAAGGGAAGCGCUUGCAACCAGACUCGACCGCUAAAGGAUCACCCCUCCCCGUGGAGGGCUCACUCCUCUGCGGUCGGGCCAGCAUCGGUUCGGGCGGUCGUUUAAAGGCGUUGGGAAUGUGGCUCCUCUCGGGGAGCGUUAUAGCCCUUCGUGCAAUGCGGCCUGCCCGGACCGAGGACCGCGCUCCGGCAAGGAUGCUGGCUUAAUGGUUGUAAGCGGCCCGUCUUGAAACACGGACCAAGGAGUCUAACAUCUAUGCGAGUGUUCGGGUGUCAAACCCCUACGCGCAAUGAAAGUGAACGGAGGUCGGAGCCCUCGGGCGCACGAUCGACCGAUCCUGAUGUCUUCGGAUGGAUUUGAGUAAGAGCAUAAAUGUUGGGACCCGAAAGAUGUGCGAACUAUGCUUGAGUAGGCCGAAGCCAGCGGAAACGCUGGUGGAGGGUCGCAGCGGUUCUGACGUGCAAAUCGAUCGUCAAACUUGAGUAUAGGGGCGAAAGACUAAUCGAGCCAUCUAGUAGCUGGUUCCUGCCGAAGUUUCCCUUAGGAUAGCAGUAACGUUUUCAGUUUUAUGAGGUAAAGCGAAUGAUUAGAGGCCUGGGGGUUGAAACAACCUUCACAUAUUCUCAAACUUUAAAUAUGUAAGAAGCCCUUGUUACUUAGUGAA